AGUGAACGCUGGCGGUAGGCCUAACACGUGCAAGUCGAACGGCAGCACAGUAAGAGCUUGCUCUUACGGGUGGCGAGUGGCGGGCGGGUGAGGAAUACAUCGGAAUCUACUUUUUCGUGGGGGAUAACGUAGGGAAACUUACGCUAAUACCGCAUACGACCUACGGGUGAAAGCAGGGGAUCUUCGGACCUUGCGCGAUUGAAUGAGCCGAUGUCGGAUUAGCUAGUUGGCGGGGUAAAGGCCCACCAAGGCGACGAUCCGUAGCUGGUCUGAGAGGAUGAUCAGCCACACUGGAACUGAGACACGGUCCAGACUCCUACGGGAGGCAGCAGUGGGGAAUAUUGGACAAUGGGCGCAAGCCUGAUCCAGCCAUACCGCGUGGGUGAAGAAGGCCUUCGGGUUGUAAAGCCCUUUUGUUGGGAAAGAAAAGCAGCAGGUUAAUACCCCGCUGUUCUGACGGUACCCAAAGAAUAAGCACCGGCUAACUUCGUG
rnacentral:rRNA from 1 species